AAUUAUAGAGAAUGCAUGCUUUAUUUUGUGUCUUUUGCGUUGUUUCCUUUGUAUUCUGAUAAAUGUAAAUUGAAUGUCAUGACUGUUGAACAUGGAAAAUGUAUACAUUGGUAUUACUUUAUAAUUAAAUACACAUUUGACAUAUUUGUUACAGAGUUCAUCUCAGCAGGGACCAAGUUCCCAAGAGCUUCAUACAACAUCUUCAAUUCAUGAAGCUGGAUGUCAGACAGACUAUGCAGACACAGAAACAGUGGCCAUACAGAUAUCACCAAAGAUGCGAUCAGUGGGCACACAACUUUCUGUUGGUACACUGAGGGAUGUCCACAUAAGAAGCAAAGGCAUUCAGGCAACAGUUUCCAGUCAGGAUGUUGGCACUGAAACAGUACUCAUGUUGCCAGAUACCCAGCUGUCUUCAACACCAGUAUGUGGCUCAAUCUUCAGGCCACGCAAGAGAAUUUGCCUGGAGUUAGAGGAGGAAGAUGAAGAGGAAGAAACAGAGUCUGAGAUACAUGUAGAGCCACAUGAUUCAACAUUUCAUCUUCUUUUACUCAGGAAUCAGAAUUGUCGUAAGUUGUAAAUAGUAUUUGAUACAUUUUGACAGUAGUUAAUGAUUAUUUUUGUUUCCUAAUAAUAAUACUUUUAUUGUUUUAGAAUAGGUCCUGUGUCCAACUACAGUGACAAGAAGUACAUUGUUUUUGAAAGCUGCCUUAGAGAGAUUUUUUAGGCAUGUCCAGUUUGUAAGGCGAAAUUUGAUGUCCAACAAAGACAAAUGGGUACUUUUGUUGCAUUCACCCAGCUUAGUGAAAAAUGUCAGCAUUACAGACGGUGGCAGAGUCAGCCCAUUGUAGGGAAUACCCCAUUGGGGAACCUGCAAUUGUGUGCUGCUACAUAUUUUAUGGGAGGGUCCUCUUCAAAACUACUCAAGAUUUUUAAGGCCAUGCAGCUCCAAACUGUCCAAUAGGGUACCUUCCGGAGACAUGCAAGACAUUUUUUAGAGCCUGCCAUCAUCCACAAAUGGAACAGAGAUCAGCAACAUGUUGUUCAGCAGCUGAAAGAGAGGGGAAAACUUCCAAUAGCAGGAGAUAUGCUUGCUGACUCACCAGGUAGAUGUAGAGAACGAAAUGUGUAUAUAUACUGCUUAUUUAAUAGUUUAACAUAAUAUUUAUAGUGCUGAAGUUCUGAACAAUGUUAUGCCUAUAAUUACUGUUUUGUUUUACAUGGGACACUCUGCAAAAUUUGGGAGUUACACAUUGAUGGAUAUGGAAACCAACUCAAUUGUGGAUCUUCAACUAAUUCAGAGCAGCGAGGUAGGUGGUAGUUACCACAUGGAAAAGGAGGGUUUAAAGCGAUGUCUGGAUAAGCUGGAAUCCUGUGGUUUGGUGGUUGACUACAUAGUCACUGAUCGCCAUUCACAGAUACAAAAGUACCUGAGGGAACGCAACAUCACUCAGUAAUAUCAUGUGUGGCACUUUGAGAAAGCUUUGUCUAAGAAACGUCUGAAGCUUUCACAAAGUAAGGACUGUGAGAUGCUGAAGAAAUGGUUGAAAAGCAUAAGAAAUCAUCUCUACUGGAGUGCGUCUACCUCUGUUUCGGGACAGGAAAAGGUGGCAAAGUGGACAUCACUUCUUAAUCACAUGCAGACCAUCCAUGUUCACGACAACCCCCUGUUUCCUAUAUGUGAACACCAAGACAAGACUUCAAGAGAUAACAAAAUAAUGUCUACAUAGAGGGUACAUUCAUGGACAGUGUACUGUUAAAAUGCCAAAAAAAUAAGGUGUGAUGUGUGUGU